rnacentral:lncRNA from 1 species
AGUAGUUAUGCCUUUAAAUCAUUUUCAUGUCAAAUCCCAUCAACACAUAAGAAGUUUAGAAAGAUCAGAUGACAAACAACCCAUCACAGUACUUGUAAGAUGUGAGUACACAGUGUGUUGAGUAUGAUGCAAAAAAAAAAAAAAAAAAAAAAGACAGGUAUAAGAACAAUCUAGACCAUGUGUGAUGUACUCCUUCAGUCAGGUAAACACUGUAGCCUGUGUGGCUAUGCUAUCUGCCUGCUCACUUUCAGUUCACAUCUCUUAUAUGUCUCAGCAUUGUAUAGCCAUGAUUUUCUGGUUUUGUUGAGUUUUAUUGAAAUUUUUUCCUAGCCUUAUGGUGAUUUUAUUUUAUAUCUUUCUAUUACCAUUAUUCUGUGCUAUUAUGGGAAAACUCCAUUUGGAGAAUGUAAAUUGUUUUCCAAAUGCAUGGCUUUAAUGUCUAGAGAAGAAAAAAAAAAUAACAGAGAGAGCCAGACAGUACCCAGCUUUAUGACAGGCCUGUUAUGUAAUACACAUCAGGAACAAGGGCCUUAAACAUAGGGUAGGGUAUAGGUUGCAGCACUCAGGUGCCUACCAGAAAUCCACCAAAUGCAGGUAAUGCUACAAGAAGACAGCCUCCACCUGAGGGGUCUGGUGAAGAAGUAGCAUGGCCACAGGAGAGGCAGUCUCCAAUCAUGGCAGGGGAGGUGGAGCCUUCAGAGAAUAGGGUCAGGCAGGAUUAUGGCUGAGUGUCCGUGAUUCUGCAGCACCACUGCUAGGUCAUGGAAGCCUGUGUUAGAACUGUCAGGUCUCCUUUGUGGAGGUCCAGAGUGGCUGGGCUGUAAGAAAGGCACCAGGGACCAGAGGAGGUAUGUAGUGCUUGUGUGCAGCUUUCAGAAUUUCUUAGCAAUUUACCUAAGGAAUUUGUGAGCACUGGAAUACUGAUGGGCCCUGCACUGAACACUUACAUUGAACAACACUGGCUUUUAACCAUAUCCACACAUGAUCUUCUCUAUUAAUAUUGUCACUCAUAUUACUAAGAAACAAAAUCCCCAAAUUUUAUGAUAUUUUUACACAUUUCAUUUCUACUUUCAGAAACUUUCAGUGUUAGCAAACCUCACAGUGCACAGCUCUUUCGUCAGUGUGCCCUAAGUGCACUUGACUGUUAGAUGAACAAUUAUAAAUUUAAAGUUAAAUCCAGGCUUUCUGCCUCAUCUCCAUGUGCUAUGUUUUGUUAUAGCAUUAUGUAUUUAAAUACAUAAAUAUACAGCAGUGUAUCUGUGUC